UACAGAGGUCUCAAGCGUUGUUCGGAUUCAUUGGGCGUAAAGGGUGCGUAGGUGGCGGGGUAAGUCAGGUGUGAAAUCUCGGAGCUCAACUCCGAAACUGCACUUGAUACUGCCUUGCUUGAGUACUGGAGAGGAGAUUGGAAUUUACGGUGUAGCAGUGAAAUGCGUAGAUAUCGUAAGGAAGACCAGUGGCGAAGGCGAAUCUCUGGACAGUUACUGACACUGAGGCACGAAGGCCAGGGGAGCAAACAGG
rnacentral:rRNA from 1 species